UACAGAGGGUGCGAGCGUUAAUCGGAAUUACUGGGCGUAAAGCGCGCGUAGGCGGCUUUGCAAGCCGGAUGUGAAAUCCCCGGGCUUAACCUGGUAACUGCAUUCGGGACUGCAUUGCUAGAGUAUGGGAGAGGGAAGUGGAAUUUCAGGUGUAGCGGUGAAAUGCGUAGAUAUCUGAAGGAACAUCAGUGGCGAAAGCGACUUCCUGGACCAAUACUGACGCUCAUGUGCGAAAGCGUGGGGAGCAAACAGG
rnacentral:rRNA from 1 species